rnacentral:rRNA from 1 species
ACGAACGCUGGCGGCGUGCUUAACACCUGCAAGUCGAACCGAAAGGCCCUGCUUUUGUGGGGUGCUCGAGUGGCGAACGGGUGAGUAACACGUGAGUAACCUGCCCUUGACUUUGGGAUAACUUCAGGAAACUGGGGCUAAUACCGGAUAGGAGCUCCUGCUGCAUGGUGGGGGUUGGAAAGUUUCGGCGGUUGGGGAUGGACUCGCGGCUUAUCAGCUUGUUGGUGGGGUAGUGGCUUACCAAGGCUUUGACGGGUAGCCGGCCUGAGAGGGUGACCGGCCACAUUGGGACUGAGAUACGGCCCAGACUCCUACGGGAGGCAGCAGUGGGGAAUAUUGCACAAUGGGCGGAAGCCUGAUGCAGCAACGCCGCGUGCGGGAUGACGGCCUUCGGGUUGUAAACCGCUUUCGCCUGUGACGAAGCGUGAGUGACGGUAAUGGGUAAAGAAGCACCGGCUAACUACGUG